rnacentral:rRNA from 1 species
CCCAGACUCCUACGGGAGGCAGCAGUGGGGAAUAUUGCACAAUGGGGGAAACCCUGAUGCAGCGACGCCGCGUGAGUGAAGAAGUAUUUCGGUAUGUAAAGCUCUAUCAGCAGGGAAGAAAUAGCGACCUUUGGGUCGCCAGACGGUACCUGACUAAGAAGCCCCGGCUAACUACGUGCCAGCAGCCGCGGUAAUACGUAGGGGGCGAGCGUUAUCCGGAAUUACUGGGUGUAAAGGGAGCGUAGACGGCGAGGGUAGCCUGAAGUGGAAGCCCGCGGCCCAACCGCGGAACUGCUUUGGGAACUGUUUUGCUGGAGUAUGGGAGGGGUAAGCGGAAUUCCUGGUGUAGCGGUGAAAUGCGUAGAUAUCAGGAGGAACACCGGUGGCGAAGGCAGCGUACCGGCGCCGGACUGACGCUGAGGCACGAAAGCGUGGGUAUCGAACAGGAUUAGAUACCCGAGUA